CGCUAGGCUUGACCGGGGGGUUGGGCGUCCCCUUGUAGACCCAAAUCGUCCUCAUGGGGCGGUGACAGUCGGGGGCGGUGCUCCCAGUCUGGCGCUGGUCCGGAUGCCGACGUUGAGGUUCUGUCCCGCGGGGCUGGAGGCGACAGGGAACGCAGCUGGAGAGCGGCGAUCCCCGUCCCGAUCGUGGGGAACGGGUCAGGCACGGAAGUGAGCAGCCUCACCGCGGACUACCAACGCUCGCGGGGGUGCGGGACCGAGGACGCAUCCGGGUCACCCGGCGUCGGAGCUGAGCAUCCACCUCGAUGGCCUAGCU
rfam:Euryarchaeota archaeon 13_1_20CM_2_64_92 13_1_20cm_2_scaffold_22428, whole genome shotgun sequence.